AUUUUAUCGGAGGGCUUCACUCCCAUGACGCUCGGUAAUUCUAGAGCAGCAGGUUCAUUGAUAAUUGGCUUGGAUGCUUUUUGGGUUGCUCUCAUUGAUCAGUGGUUAACAAAUUACUGCGUUCCAUAACUAAAGACUUUAUUCCAAUGUGCAUGAGAUCAGUUAUUUGGGUUCUUUCCUCUACUCAACUUGAUUUAGGACUGCUAUUGCAGUUAAGUCUAGGGAUGUGCAUAACCAAGCAUCUGUUAGCCUAAUCAACAUAUAGCUUUUCUUUUCUUGUGUUUCUCUUUAUCCAUUCUUGUUCCAUGAGGCUUAUUCAUUUGAAUGGUUUGUACCUGUAUAGUGAUAGUAGCUUGGCUCCUCAUCUUGAACCUUGAGCUUUUUAGUUUUACUGUUCAUUAACACCUCACUUCUGGCAGCUUUGUACCACUGUAGUAAAGUGUUGUGAAAAUUCACCCACACAAAUUAAAAGAACAUGUGUGGGUGUAAGCUUACUCCACCAACAAACCCACUAAUCAAAGGAAAAAUAAUUUACAACUACUAAUUAUUUUUCUAACUCCCAAAUAGUCACAAAUCAAUCACAAGUAAAAUCACUCACAGAUGCACUGUUACUCAAAUUUCAGACUGCCUGCACUCACUCCAUGGUUCGGUGGCCUUGCAACUCUCAAAGAAUACUCACUAAAAACUGGUGCACCUCUCCACUCUUUUUAAAUUAUAGCCACUAGCACUCUUUUUAUAGUUCAUGUGAGAAACAUGGUCGGCGACGCAAGUCCACUUCUCUUUGGAAUUCCAAAUUCAAGUCCAAGUAUAAUUGGACAUUCUAAGCACCGAAUCUUCUUUUUUAUUUUUAUUAAACUUCCUAAUCUAAUUCUAAUAACUAAACUUCCUUUGUAAUGUUAACUCAAUUCCUCAUUCCAUUUGGUCUUGGAUUUCCUACACAAAGUCUGUGUGUAAGUUGGUUGCCACGAGGUUUAGUUGUCUACUAGGUGUCAGUCCUACUUCUUCCAAGUAUGAGUCUCAUAUUUCAUUCACUUCUGAAUAAAAGAUGCCAUAAGUUUAGUUUUGGAACAGCUAACUUACUUGCUGAUUCCAUUCUCAUUCCUUUUCUUUGCCUUAUUGACCAUGAAAAGGGUUAAUGUAUACAAG
rnacentral:misc_RNA from 1 species